rnacentral:rRNA from 1 species
GACGAACGCUGGCGGCGUGCUUAACACAUGCAAGUCGAACGGAAAGGCCCUGCUUUUGUGGGGUGCUCGAGUGGCGAACGGGUGAGUAACACGUGAGUAACCUGCCCUUGACUUUGGGAUAACUUCAGGAAACUGGGGCUAAUACCGGAUAGGAGCUCCUGCUGCAUGGUGGGGGUUGGAAAGUUUCGGCGGUUGGGGAUGGACUCGCGGCUUAUCAGCUUGUUGGUGGGGUAGUGGCUUACCAAGGCUUUGACGGGUAGCCGGCCUGAGAGGGUGACCGGCCACAUUGGGACUGAGAUACGGCCCAGACUCUUACGGGAGGCAGCAGUGGGGAAUAUUGCACAAUGGGCGGAAGCCUGAUGCAGCAACGCCGCGUGCGGGAUGACGGCCUUCGGGUUGUAAACCGCUUUCGCCUGUGACGAAGCGUGAGUGACGGUAAUGGGUAAAGAAGCACCGGCUAACUACGUG